rnacentral:rRNA from 1 species
UACGAAGGGGGCUAGCGUUGCUCGGAAUUACUGGGCGUAAAGGGCGCGUAGGCGGUGCGGUAAGUCACCUGUGAAACCUCUGGGCUCAACUCAGAGCCUGCAGGCGAAACUGCCGUGCUGGAGUGUGGGAGAGGUGCGUGGAAUUCCCGGUGUAGCGGAUGAAAUGCGUAGAUAUCAGGAGGAACACCGGUGGCGAAGGCGGUUCUCGUGGGCAUGUCCUGACGCUGAGGAGCGAAAGUGUGGGGAGCGAACAGG